AAGCCAUGCAUGUCUAAGCACAUGCCUUAAAAUGGUAAAGCCGCGAAUGGCUCGGUAUAACAGCUACGGUUUAUUAGAUUUUAGUUAUCUACUUGGAUAACUGUGGUAAUUCUAGAGCUAAUACAUGCACAAAAGCUCGGACCUUACGGAAAGAGCGCAUUUAUUAGAACAAAACCAAUCGGUCGCACGCUUCGGCGUCGGCCGGCAAUUGGUGACUCUGAAUAACUAAGUUGAUCGCACAGUCUUAGAACUGGCGACGUAUCUUUCAAAUAUCUGCCUUAUCAACUUUCGAUGGUAGGUUAUACGCCUACCAUGGUUAUAACGGGUAACGGAGAAUAAGGGUUCGACUCCGGAGAGGGAGCCUGAGAAAUGGCUACCACAUCCAAGGAAGGCAGCAGGCGCGCAAAUUACCCAAUCCCAGUACGGGGAGGUAGUGACGAAAAAUAACGAGAUAGUCCACUAUGUGGCCUGUCAUCGGAAUGGGUACAAUUUAAAUCUUUUAACGAGGAUCUAUUAGAGGGCAAGUCUGGUGCCAGCAGCCGCGGUAAUUCCAGCUCUAAUAGCGUAUAUUAAAGUUGUUGUGGUUAAAACGCCCGUAGUUGAUUUUUCGACUUUGGAGCGUGGUAUCUCGAAAGAGUUUUCACUGCGUCUUCAAGUCUGAAUUUAAGUUUUCUAUGGAUGCUCUUUAUUGAGUGUCCUUAGUGACUUGAACGUUUACUUUGAAAAAAUUAGAGUGCUUAAAGCAAGCUUUACGCUUGAAUAAAGUGCAUGGGAUAAUGGAAUAGGACUUUAGUCUUAUUUUGUUGGUUUUCGAGAUUAAAGUAAUGAUUAAGAGGAAUAGACGGGGGCAUUCGUAUUGUUGCGUUAGAGGUGAAAAU
rnacentral:rRNA from 1 species